rnacentral:rRNA from 1 species
AGUGAAUAGACUACCCGGUAGUCCACGCCCUAAACGAUGUCGACUGGCUUUCCGGAGUAUCGACCCUCUGGGGAGGCGAAAGCUAAACGCGUUAAGUCGACCGCCUGGGUAGUACGGCCGCAAGGCUAAAACUCAAAGGAAUAGACGGGAGCUUGCACAAGCGGUGGAGCGUGUGGCUCAAUUCGUCGCUAAGCGAAGAACCUUACCAGGGCUAGAAAUCCUACUGCACGCCUCUCGAAAGAGAGGAAGCCUUCGAGGGUGUAGGACAGGUGAUGCAUGGCUGUCGUCAGUUCGUGGUUUGAAUCGUUCCCUUCAGUGGGGUAACGAACGCAACCCUCGUUGCCUGUUACAAGUGUCAGGCGAGACUGCCCCCUCACGGGGGAGGAAGGUGGGGAUGACGCCAAGUCAGCAUGUCCCUCUGAUGUCCUGGGCUGCACACGCGCUACAAUCGCCGUUACGAAGGGGCGCGACGUCGUAAGACCGAGCAAAUCCUCUAAAAGCGGCGCCGGUUCGGAUUGAGGUCUGCAACCCGACCUCAUGAAGCCGGAAUC